CAAAGUGGUAGUAUAGGUAAGUGGUAAAUAUCGCCUAUUAAAAAAAAAAGUAUUUUAGCCUAGUUUAAUAGAGCGGCAAGAGAAAAGAAAUUCCAGCAAAAUAAAGUUAAAAAAAAAAGAAAAUAUAUAAAUACUAAAAAUUUGUUUGUUUGUUUUUAAGCGCUACUAAUAUGACUUUUUGUGACACUUGAGCCCCAAUAUUUCAUCAGUUCAAACUUGAAACCAAUAAAUACAAUGAAGACUUUUUUUGUCGAUAAACAAAUAUAUUCGCCGUAUUAUUGAAAAAGCGAAUUCUUCUAAUAUUUAUAAAUAAAGCCUUUAUUAAAUGAAAAUUUAAAACGAUCUAAUAGUUCAAAAAGUUUCAAGACUACUUCUUGUCAAGAACAAGACGUUAUUUCAAACAUUUCAAAAGUUGCAAUGGUAAUCAAGAUUUUAUAUCUAGAUAUGCCACAAAUGUCUUUAAAUAAACAUCUCACUUGGGGUGCAUUUGAAUACAACUUCGAUUAAAAUAAAAACGCAAAUUUACAAAAACUUCUUAUAAGAAACUCUCUUUGUAAAGAAGAUCGCUGCGAUCUUGUUACUAAAAGUUUAUACAAGUGUAAACAAUAAAAUGAAAAAUUAAGAUAUAUUCUAACAUACCUUUAUAAAAUUAAAAAAGACAUUAAUAAAAAUGAGGUAUUUUGAAGUAUAUUGAAAUUAAAAUUGAAUCAUCUUGUCAAAGGUAAAGAAAAGUAGUAGUUAACAACCACAACAAAGAUGUUUAUAAUCUAAACUGCAAUCUGAAAGAGAAAAAUGCGUUGCGAGGGUCAUUAUUGUAAAAAAUCAUUUUUUUUUUAAAUAUUUAUAUAAAAAACGA